UUAAAUGAAUAAGGGCGUAUGGUGGAUGCCUAGGCAUGUAGAGCAGAAGAAGGACGCAGCUAACGGCGAAACGCGACGGGGAGUGGUAAGCACACAUCGAUCCGUCGGUCUCCGAAUGGGGAAACCCAGCGCGAGUAAUGUCGCGUUACCCAUGAGUGAAUACAUAGCUCAUGAGGAGAGAACCCAGGGAAUUGAAACAUCUUAGUACCUGGAGGAAAAGAAAAUAACAAUGAUUCCCUUAGUAGCGGCGAGCGAACGGGGAAGAGCCCAAACCAGCCUUAGGGCUGGGGUAGUAGGACCACGACGUGGUACAGUAACCGAUAGAAGAAGGACAUUGAAAGGUCCGCCAAAGAGGGUGCAAGCCCCGUAAUCGAAAUUGGGAGCUGACCUAGUGGAAUCCUGAGUACGGCGAGGCACGUGGAACCUUGUCGGAAGCAUCCGGGACCAUCCGGAAAGGCUAAAUACUCCUACAUGACCGAUAGUGAACCAGUACCGUGAGGGAAAGGUGAAAAGAACCGCGGGAGCGGAGUGAAAUAGAACCUGAAACCAUAUGCUUACAAGAAGACAGAGCCCGUUAAGGGGUGAUGUCGUGCCUUUUGUAGAAUGAACCGGCGAGUUAUCUUAUCGUGCGAGGUUAAGUGGAAGACACGGAGCCGAAGCGAAAGCGAGUCUGAAUAGGGCGGGAGUACGAUGAGAUAGACCCGAAGCCGUAGUGAUCUAGCCAUGACCAGGUUGAAGUUUGGGUGAAACCAAAUGGAGGACCGAACCGACCCCCGUUGAAAAGUUGGCGGAUGAGUUGUGGCUAGCGGAGAAAUUCCAAUCGAACACGGCGAUAGCUGGUUCUCCCCGAAAUAGCUUUAGGGCUAGCGUCGAAGUAAGGGUAGUGGAGGUAGAGCACUGAAUUCAUGAUGGCGCCGUCAAGGUGUACUGAAUGAAAUCAAACUCCGAAUGCCAUUAUGUCAUCUUCGGCAGUCAGACUGUGGGUGAUAAGGUCCAUGGUCAAAAGGGAAACAGCCCAGAUCAUCAGUUAAGGUCCCAAAAUUACCGCUAAGUGGAAAAGGAUGUGGGGAUGCACAGACAACUAGGAGGUUGGCUUAGAAGCAGCCACCCUUCAAAGAGUGCGUAACAGCUCACUAGUCGAGUGACCCUGCGCCGAAAAUUAACCGGGGCUAAGCGGUAUACCGAAACUAUGGCAAUGAUGUAAAUCAUUGGGUAGGGGAGCGUUCCAUGGGCGUUGAAGCUGUACCGUAAGGAGCAGUGGAGCGCAUGGAAGUGAGAAUGCCGGUGUGAGUAGCGAGAUGCAGGUGAGAAUCCUGCACACCGAUAGACCAAGGAUUCCAGGGGAAGGUUCGUCCGCCCUGGGUAAGUCGGGACCUAAGGCGAGGCUGAAAAGCGUAGUCGAUGGAAAACAGGUUGAUAUUCCUGUACCCGCGCAUCGAGUGAUGGAGUGACAAAGAAGGCUAACCGGACCGGUGAAUGGAUUCCGGACCAAGCGAGGUAGGAGGCAGUCAGGCAAAUCCGGCUGUCAAUCUGAAGGCGUGAUGGGGAGUGAACAGCGCGAGCUAAGUAGCGAAGACGGCGAUGCCAGCUUUCAAGAAAAGCUUCUAGCGCUAAUCGAUGAGCGGCCCGUACCAAAACCGACACAGGUGGUCAAGGCGAGAAGCCUAAGGUGAGCGAGAGAACUGUUGCCAAGGAACUCGGCAAAAUAGCCCCGUACGUUCGCAAGAAGGGGCGCUCGAAAGAGCCGCAGUGAAGAGGCCCAAGCAACUGUUUAACUAAAACACAGCUCUCUGCAAAGUCGCAAGACGAAGUAUAGGGGGUGACGCCUGCCCGGUGCUGGAAGGUUAAGAGGAUAUGUUAGCCGCAAGACGAAGCAUUGAAUUGAAGCCCCAGUGAACGGCGGCCGUAACUAUAACGGUCCUAAGGUAGCGAAAUUCCUUGUCAGGUAAGUUCUGACCC
rnacentral:rRNA from 1 species